rnacentral:misc_RNA from 1 species
CAAUUUUAUUACCGAUUGGCUCUUAAUAUUCUACAUUUUCUGUUAUUCGUUUUCGCAUCAAGCCUUUGGUUGGGACGUGGGAGAAUCGCCCAGCAAUCUACCAGUUAAUUCUUAAUUGAGUGUUUUGAAGCAGAAGCGAAAUUGUGUAUUACGGGACGGGCGCUGUGCUUCAAUUGUUUCUUUUCUCCAGCAGCCGACACGACGUGGAAAUUUCUGUUUUGAAAGUUUAAACUUUCAUCUCCAAUAGUUUCCUUUUUAACCUCAAGGGAAAGCAUUAAGUAGUAGACAAAUUCACCAUUUUCAUUAAGGAUAGAUUGUUGGCUUAUGAAUGUCAUUAGAGUUUUCUCAGAAAAAUCGUCAGAGUUGAAAGAACAGUCCUUGAGAAAGCUCGAGCAAAGUCGGAAAUUCUACAAUGAAGGAAAUAGUGACUGCAAUCACGGUGGUGUUCUUCUUUAUACUUAAAUCGGUUCUCGCAUCCACUGGAGAUCGUUCUCAAAUGUUUUAUAGCUGUCUUCAGGAUUGUUUAGCCCAAAACUGUUCUGGUUCCUCUCAAGAUUCCCAAUCGUCUCUCAUUUUACGGGCUCUCCAGUGGACCUGCUCUGAUGAAUGCAAAUAUUUUUGCAUGUGGCCAACUGUAAAUUGGUUUGUUGAAGCUGAAAUUGGGGUUCAGCAAUUUUAUGGCAAGUGGCCAUUUGUAAGAAUUUGGGGUAUUCAAGAACCUGCAGCAACCUUAUUUUCUAUCCUCAAUUUAGUUGGUCAUGUAGUCAUGAUUAAAAGAUUUCGAAAAGAAGUUAGACCUAGUGCUCCCUUUUACCGAAUGACACAUUAUUUCUGCUUUAUUUGCUGUCACGCUUGGCUAUGGUCCACAAUUUUCCAUAUUCGAGAUGUCCGAUUUACGGAAAUAAUGGAUUAUUUGGGUGCAUUCAGCAUGGUGUUAUUCUCAGUUUACCAUUUUCUUAGCAGAGUGUUGGCAUUUGAAUCACGCAGCUUUCAGUAUUCAUUGUUUUUCGGAAUAGCUAUAGGAUUUUACUUUGUUUAUCAUAGUUACACCACUUUCUUUGUCAAAAUGGAUUAUGGAUAUAACAUGCUCAUCAACAUAGCCUUUGCUUGGUCUCUUUUUAUACGUCGGAUUACUAGGAGCGUGCGCAGCCUUCGUUGCCCUCGUUGCCUUCACGACACUGUUUGAAGUACUGGAUUUUCCGCCUUUGUUUUGGGUGCUCGAUGCUCAUGCUCUGUGGCACUUGUCAACCGCACCGCUGGCCAUUUUAUGGUAUAAGUUUUUGAUUGACGAUUGUCAUCAUAUGGAAGGACAGAAGCUUGAUCUCGAAAAACUGGCUUAGUCUGAUUGUAAAGAAGUUAUCUGAAAUUCUUUAUUUUAGUGCAAAUUGCUGGGAUUGAAAUCUACCCAUGGCGUAAUUGUGUACUUCAGUUUUCAUACUCUCCAAGAAUCCCGAAAGUCCCUAUUGCAGCAUAGCCACAUGCUCAAAGUGACUGCUGUAAUUUAUCAAGAAUGUUUCAAAUAAGACAUGCCAUCACCUGACAGUGAAACAAA